AGGAGGCCCUUAAUUGAAGGAUGACUUAUUAAAGACAAAUGAGAGGUGGCCUCACAGUAUCCUGGUGGUGAAUAAAACAAUGUAAUGACCAAAAUUUAGCAUAUUUCAAGAACUGUUUGCCUUCUUGAAUGACACACCAUUGGAGGCUGGGAGGGAAGCUGGAGGCAUAAGAAAGAUAAUACUGUUCCCCUAGCAGAAUCUGAGCUGUGCCCCCACAUGGUUGGGGGGCGCAAAUGCACAGUUUAUUCAUUCUGUAAGAAAAGGGAGUAAAAGCUGAGGGACAAUAUAGCCAGCAUGGCAGCCGACUCUGAAAUCAGCAAGCCUCCCAGACCUCAAAGAGUAUUAGAGCACACACUAUCUACCAAUGUCUGCAUUAGAGAGACACAAGAUAACACAUAACCAGAGUGUACAGACUAGUAAACAGCUACUAGUCCAAUACCCUUGGGAUCCCAACUUUGCCAAUAGCUCCCACCAUUAGAGUAGUGGUCAGAAUCAAAAUGUUCUCCCCAUGACUUUGAAUAUGCUUAGAACUGUGUUGAACAAAGGAUGGUCUUUUUUCUCUUUCUCUGCUGAUAUUUCCUAUGGUGCUCUUGGUCAUUCACAGAAGUGGCUAUGACCCAUGACAGAGGGGAAAAUUAAUGCCCUGGGGAACUGCCAAUCAGAAUCUUGAACAAAACACCUGACCUCUCUUCUGUGAUUCUUUGUGCAUAACAUGAAAAGAAUGCAAGUUAUUUGCUUUGUAGGACUGUUUUUGAGGACUGAACCAGUAGUGUCAGGACACAGUGUGUGGCUCAGUCCUUGUGAGUUUAUUCUCUCCAAUCCUUUUUCAAUCCUUACCUCUGAGUUUUUGACCCUGGAGCUCAGGUUGACCUUUUUCGCCAGAUAUUUUGAUUUCUGACCUAACAGCCUUACCUACCAAUGCCCAAUGAUAAUAAAAACCAAUUUUGUUCAAAGAAGCAUUGCCCAUUUCCAGGAUGAGAUUAAGGAAUUC
rnacentral:lncRNA from 1 species